CCUUCCCUUCAAAGCCAUGAAUUGGUCUCAGCUUGUCCCACGGAUCCGAUGAGAUCCACAGGCCGGAUUCGCCGCAACUGCGCCGUGAAUCAACCCCGUCGCAGCCGUCUGUGCCAUUGCAGCAACAACCAACCUCGUGUAAAAAAGGUGGAGAUAGGUAGAGAGAGGAAGUGAGGGACAGAGAACGAGGAGGCGCAAGUAUAAAUUAAGAGGCAGAUUGGAGAAAUCGUCGAUGAUUUUGGAGGAUCGGCUUCUUGUUUGUAUCGAAUGAAAACUGGAGGCUGGUCACUACCCCAACAGUUAGCUCAGCAAACUUGGUUGACAACGGUUGGCAAUUAGCAUUGGGGUUUAAGGGGUAAAAUAGGUUUUCCCAAAAUGGUCGAUGCUUAAGCCAUGUCGAUUCGGGCCCACGCCCAACGCAGUCCCUCCAUUUGGAAUUGGGGCCCAACACAGCAACGCUACUCUCUCUCUUAUUUUCAUAGCCGAAAAAUAGAUGUGGCGCCUAAUUGUCACUGUCUCGUCAUUGCAUGCAUUAUACAUGUACUAAUAAUGUAAAGUUACUUGGUUUCAAAAAAAUAAAAUAAUGUAGAGUUACUUUACCUAAAAAAAAAAAAUCUAUAUUCAAGAUCAUAUAACAAUAUUGAGAUUUUUCUCGUAAUUUUCAUUCAUAAGAAAAUAUUAAUACAAUAUUUUUUGCAUUUGCUACUUUGCAACAAAAAAAAAUGAAUCAAUUACACACGGUCAUAUAUCGACAAAUCCACAUACAUAUAAAUAUAGGCAAUAAGUUCAUGACUUAAUUCAAUACUAAUAUAGUCAAAGUAAGCGCUUUAUCAAGUCAUUAUUUGUAUAUUUAGUCUUCAUUCUUCUCCCGCAACUUAGAAAAAAAAAAUCAACCAAAAUAUUUUAUACCUUUAAUUAGUUAGUGAGAAAAGAUCCAACAAUAGGAGUCUCUAAGGCGCAGUUUGGUUCCUUAGUUUAUGCAGUAUUAGCAAAGGUAUCAUGGAUUAUAAGAGAGUUUGAUAUCCCUUUUUUUAAUACGCAUGGCCCUUGAUAAACAUAAGGCCCGGACACAAUUUCCGUGAUGAGUCCGGAUUACAAAUCGCGCCUCCCCCCUCCGAUUCCGUUGCCAGCAGUAAAGAAAAGAAUUAAUUUGUCUCGAUUGCCCUCCAACACAACAUUCAUUUCUCGAAAAUAACUAGGGCGUCGCGCCUCUCUCUCUCUCGUCUUCUCUAUCGACGCAAUCGAAGCUUUGCGAAAGAAAAUUAUUUUAGGGAUAUCUCCUUCGACCCAGUAUUUCCAUCGAUCAAAAUCAUUGCAUUUGUACAUAAUUUCGCCGAUUGUGGUGUGGGUUUACCCAAAGUUUGUUUAGAAAUGGUUGAUUUUUGAACUGGGUUUGGGAACUUCUUUCGCGAUUUCAAAUCUUAGUUUUUUUCAUCGACCAUUAAUCUAUGGCUAGAUUUACUGAGUUAUAUUUCUUCAAGGUGUUUUUGGGUUUAGUUAUAAGUACCGAAUGCAGUUCGUCUGUAAAUUUCUGGUGUGGUUUGUUAGGGGCUGCUGUGCACUCCAAGUGUUUGCUUUUUUGCGUAUGUGAUAUAGUUUGGUUGAUGCUUUUCUUCGAACACAUGGAGUGCGGCUGCUGGUGCAUGGUACCCAGGCAGUCCGCUUGUUCUGCUGUGAAUGGGAGCUGGAUCUUUGGGUUCGCUGACCUUUGUGGUGGGCGUGUGUCUGCCGUCGGGUUUGGCGGCCGGGAGCUUCGCUGACCAUCCCGGCGUUUGGUCGUUUUCUUGGUUGAAAAAUUAGGAAUACGCUGGUCCAAUGUUAAUUAACGCAUGGGCUUUUGUGUCUUUCUAAUUAAUUAUCUAGGGCACAUAAUUAGAUAUCAAACACCAAUAUUGUGUGACUAAUAUAUUUGUUUAACAUAUCAAACGCAAAAAUAGGAUUAAUAAUAUCCACUAAUCUAUCAAAGGUAUCCGUUCAAAAAUAAUAUGGCCUAAACCAUUAUGGUGAAUCAAACGCACCCUAAGUAAAUUAUGAGUGAAGGAUACGCAAUAAAAGUGUGUUUAUUUUUUAUCAUUUUAAAUAGAAAGAUAAUAUAAUAAGAUAUAAAUUUAUCAAUUUAAGCGGGAACAAAUUAAAAUAAUGGAUAAACUUAUUAAAGCAACACUUAUUUUCCCAAACAAUAAUAAAAUUUGUAAAAACAUUUAAUCUAUUUAAACGGGGGAAUUAUAAUUUAUACUCUCACACUUAGUCCCGCCACUCUUAAUAAAAAGGGCGGGAAACUUUACUAUGGCUAUCAUCUGAAGACUCACAUCCCUAAUACCAGAAAUUCUCAGAUCCAAAUCUCCUACAUCCUUCCACCAGCAUUAGGUAUUUCUCAUAUAUCAGUUUCCCCAAAAUUCAGCGUUUAAUUCGAGGAACAUGGAUGGAUUAUCAACCAUUUGUGCUGGGCUAGGAAUAGUUGAAGAAGAUGACAAUGGGAAGCGCAUUGGAUAUGCUAAGGGAGAGUAUUGUUUAGGUGCCACUUCUUCUUGCUGUUCUUGUUCUUUGUAUUAUUCAUUUAAUAGAAAUUGAGAUAACUGUGAUCGUUAUUUAGAUGUUGUUAAUUCGAUUUUGCUCGAAAUAUUUGGCAGAUAACUUGAAGGAUCUAUUAAGGUUUCUACGGCGCGAUGAUCCGGAGAAAAGGGAUGUAUUCAAGCAAGUUUGUAAAUGGAAUACUGUGGGGAAGGAUUUGAUCCCGAUUAUUGAGUAUUUCCAGGAAGACCGUAAUUUGGUGCUGAAUGCAGGUAACACUGAAUGGGAUUUCGGAAGUGUAAUAUGCUACAUUCUAGAUACAAUUUUGACGAAUCAAGCUCUUGUUUUGUAGUGAAAGUGCUGGUAUUUCUUACUAUGCCCGUUGAGCCUACAUCCGUUGACAUAUUGCAGCAAAUUGAGUAUCUUUGGGGACUGAAGUCCGCUAUUACAUUCAGUGAUAUUAUUCCAGUAAUAGUGUCCCUUCUGGAAACCCCAUUAGAAAAUCUUGAAAGGUCAGCGCAGCGGUACUUGUUGAUGGGAAUGUUUUUACUUGCCAAAACAAUUGGUUUACUUUUUCGGUGACUAUUGGAGAUUAAAUUGCUGGAAGUUAAAUUGUGAUUUUGUUUUAACAUUUUAUGAGAAUGGGAGUCUUAGUGUCUUUGGGCCUGGAGACUGUCACAGUUUUGGGUUUUCUAUCCUACCGGUUGGGAAACCCGAUUAUGUUUUCCGGUAGUUGGCCGGAAAAUGUAUUAGAGUGCGGAAGCAUGUUUCAGAAUUUUGUUGGAUGAAUCAAUGUGGUGCAUUUUUUUGUGAUACUUUCUGAACUUUAGAUACUCGUCAGAUCAUUUGUUAAAUGCCUAGUCAAUUUUGGUUUCUCAUAGGGUACGGUACUAUAGAAUUGCAAAUAUUUGAAAUAUAUGCUUUGGGAGGAUGAGAGUUUCAUUUCUGGAAAGUAAAGAAAUAGAGUCAUUUUUGUUUUUGGCAAAGAUAAAGGGAGAUAAAAAUUAAAGUUAAAAUUAGUAGUAGCAUGCUUUCUUAUAAUUAAUUUGUUUCUGAUUGACAAGAAGUGACGGGGGUGAAUGAUGGUGAUUGCUUGUUAUAAUAUGAAAGACUAUAACUUGUAUGGUUAAGAUGCUCAGUAGUUCUGUUCUUAAAUUUCAUCAUUGAAUCCAACCUGACAGUUUGCUUCAUGUUUUGCAGUGGAUCUUUUACAGAGGAUGAUUGGAAAUUGGUUCAGCUGGUCCUUACUUUAUUUCGGAACGUCCUUGCUAUUCAAGAUAUAUCAACUCAACAGAAAGCUGCAGGAUCAGCCACUCAGUUUCUGUUUAUUCGAGACAGCUUUUUAGAAUUAUUGUUCCAGGAGNACUUGCCUUGGUAUCAAGCAUGAUGGCAAUGACAUUGUCUUUGGAUUGAGCAUUAUAUCCUUGACCAAAUCAAUGACUUUCUGGUGAGAUGCAUGGUCUCCAUGGGACAUAUUGAACGGGCAACGUUCAUUCCAGCCUCUGCAAGCUUCCAUAUCAUUUCCCUGGUGUUAGUGGAGGGGACCGAAUUGUGCAAACAAUCUUGUCUUCCGGCUGACAGUAGGCUUAGACCAUAUAGACGCUGAUGUUCCGCCAGGUUGUGGAAUCCCUUGUAAAUAUUGAUUUUGCUCUUCUGCCUGGUCAAGAGAAUUUGAAGAAAACUACUAUUAGUAGAAGUACAUCCACAGACUUGUCUGCUCAAGAAUUUGUUUUUCAGUGGACACAUUCAGAUGCCACAUAAGAAUAUCUAACCAUGCCACAUAAGAAUAUCUAACCAUGAGUUAUUAUUGGAUUAUCAUAUUGUAUCAGGAUAUCACACUUAACUUGAUCGGGUCACGUUGGAAACUAUGUCCUAAGAGAUUAGGCUUCUUGCAAUUACCAAAAAAUAAAUAAAAAAUAACAGUAGCAUUUAUUAAGAAACCAGCAUUAGAGGUCAAUUCAAUUUUUACGAAGCAAAUCACCACCACUGUCCCAAAGCAUAAUUCAUAUUGGGAAAAAUUAUGGGGGGCAAAGAAAUAAAACGUUCAACCACACUCUUCCCAACAGUAACAACAUUCAUAAAGCUGGAAACUAGUAGUUGCUCCAAAAGAAUACAAUACUACAUCCUCAAAUAACACACACAUACAGACCGGAAUCACUUGCAGUUCAGAGCGCACGGCGCUGACUCCGCUGUGGCUCUUCUUCUCGGUUCGUCCCAAAACCUUCCCUUCAAAGCCAUGAAUUGGUCUCAGCUUGUCCACACGGAUCCGAUGAGAUCCAGAGGCCGGAUUCGCCGCAACUGCGCCGUGAAUCAACCCCGUCGCAGCCGUCUGUGCCAUUGCAGCAACAACCAACCUCGUGUAAAAAAAGGUGGAGAUAGGUAGAGAGAGGAAGUGAGGGACAGAGAACGAGGAGGCGCAAGUAUAAAUUAAGAGGCAGAUUGGAGAAAUCGUCGAUGAUUUUGGAGGAUCGGCUUCUUGUUUGUAUCGAAUGAAAACUGGAGGCUGGUCACUACCCCAACAGUUAGCUCAGCAAACUUGGUUGACAACGGUUGGCAAUUAGCAUUGGGGUUUAAGGGGUAAAAUAGGUUUUCCCAAAAUGGUCGAUGCUUAAGCCAUGUCGAUUCGGGCCCACGCCCAACGCAGUCCCUCCAUUUGGAAUUGGGGCCCAACACAGCAACGCUACUCUCUCUCUUAUUUUCAUAGCCGAAAAAUA
rnacentral:lncRNA from 1 species